rnacentral:rRNA from 1 species
CACGUAGGGUGCGAGCGUUGUCCGGAAUUAUUGGGCGUAAAGAGCUCGUAGGCGGUGUGUCGCGUCGGCCGUGAAAACUUGCAGCUUAACUGUGGGCGUGCGGUCGAUACGGGCAUCACUGGAGUUCGGCAGGGGAGACUGGAAUUCCUGGUGUAGCGGUGAAAUGCGCAGAUAUCAGGAGGAACACCGGUGGCGAAGGCGGGUCUCUGGGCAUUACCUGACGCUGAGGAGCGAAAGUGUGGGGAGCGAACAGG